CGCGGUUAUACCAAGUGAUUAAGUUAUAUUUUUAGGUAAAAAGACAGUUAGGUUUAUAAAAUCUUAGUUUAUUAAACGUUUAUAAAAAAGUAAAAUUUGUAUAUAAAUAGCUAAUUUUAAAAUAACUUAUAUGCUGAAGCUGUGAUAAUCUUGAGGGAAACUGGGAUUAGAUACCCCAUUAUUCUUGAUUGUAAAUAUAAUUGAAUUUACCAGAGUACUAUGAAUAGUUAAAAAUUUAAAACUCAAAGGGCUUGGCGGUGUUUUAGACCUAUCAGGGGAACCUGUCUCAUAAUCGACAAUCCACGUAAUAUCCAACCUUAUUUUGUAAUCAGUUUGUAUACCGUCGUCGUCAGGUAACUUUUAAAAAUAUAGAAGUUAGCAAUUAAAAUUAAAUAUGAAUUAAAACGUCAGAUCAAGGUGCAGCCCAUAAUAAGGAGAGGAUGGGUUACAAUUAUAAGAAUUAUAAUUACGGAAAUUUAAAUGAAAUUAUUAUUUUAAAGGAGGACUUGAAAGUAAACUAGAAUAUAUAAAUAGUUUGAAUAAGGCUCUG
rnacentral:rRNA from 1 species